rnacentral:lncRNA from 1 species
GAAAGAAGGGAAGAAAAUACUGUUUUGUAUAUAGGAGCCAACUAAGAGAUCUCUGGAGUUCCAUAUUUCACAUCUGACAUUAUGAUUAAAUUACCCACUGUCUCUUUGGCUGCUAUAGGAUAUGAAAAAUUUUCGUGGAAAAAUAUAACGGAACUGCUUAAAACUGGGAUGCUCAUAAUUGGAAUUUACUAUUGCAGAAAAAUAUACAAGAAACUGGAAUAUUCUCUGGAUAAAACAGAGGAGCUUUCAGCCAUUGUCGGUGAUCUUCGGAAAAGACUUGAUAAGGGGGAACAGGAUAAAUAUAAGAUUAAACAGGAAAAAGGCAAGUCAAAAAUUGUUUUGUUUUGUUUUGUUUUGUUUUUUUGCCUGUUCUUAGUUGUUUCAUCUCUCACUUGCACCUUGAAAAAAAGCUGUCACUUUAUCUUACCUAAAUUCCAUCUUUUCCCAUUCUUACCUUUUAUCCACAGCAAUCUUCCCCUAAAACACUGGCCUCUUUUCAAUUGUUUUUCUCUUCUUUAUUUUUCACCCUCAGAUAAUAUUGCACAGGGAAAAGGCAAGUUAAUUUUUUUUUUUUUGCCUGUUCUUAGCUCUUGUUUCAUCUGUUACUUGCACCUUAAAAAGAAAGCUGUCAUUUUAUGUUACCUAAAUUCCAUCUUUUCCCUUUCUUACCUUUAUCCAUUCCAACCUUCCCCUAAAACAUUGGCUUCUUGUCAAUUGUUUUUCUCUUUCUUUUCUUCCUCAGAUAAUAUUGCACUGGAAAAAGGCAAGUCAAUUUUUUUUCACCUGUUCUUAUUUUAUCUGUUACUUGCACCUUAA